UACGUAGGGGGCUAGCGUUGUCCGGAAUCAUUGGGCGUAAAGAGCGUGUAGGCGGCCCGGUAAGUCCGCUGUGAAAGUCAAAGGCUCAACCUUUGAAUGUCAGCGGAUACUGCCGGGCUAGAGUCCGGAAGAGGCGAGUGGAACUCCUGGUGUAGCGGUGGAAUGCGCAGAUAUCAGGAAGAACACCAACGGCGAAGGCAGCUCGCUGGGACGGUACUGACGCUGAGGAGCGAAAGCGUGGGGAGCGAACAGG
rnacentral:rRNA from 1 species